CAUGUGCACUUUAGAAAGAGCUGCAGUUCUUUGUUAUCAGAUACCUCUUGUUGCAUCAUGAUAAGGCACAUCGUCCUCUAGUUUAUAAAGUUGGAUGUUGGCAACUUGUGUUACAAGCUUACAGUUUUAGGUCGAAAGUUAUGAACCAGUCUUCUUGUUGUGAGCUGUGACACUAACAUCUUACCUGAUGGUAGAUUUCAGUGAAUUCUAGUUGUGAUGGGGUCUGUGAAGGACAAUUCAUAUAUCCUAGUCCGGCUGAGUUCCAAAAUGCAGCUUGAAGUUCUCUUCAAAUGGAUCUUGAUACUUCAUCAUCCCAGUUGCAAAGUUCCUUGAGGUAUUGUCUGUGCAAAUACAGGUGCAUGUGUGGUGUGGUGGCCUUUUCAGCCCGUGCAGUGCGUUUCACCUUCCAAACGUCAAGACCCAGCCUCCAGGUCAGUACCCGGUUACCUACCUACUCGGCUACUCCUGUUGCUGUGGCUGCCGCGUUUUUUUUUGCUCUGAAGCAAGCAAUCCUGCAGUAGGGUGGCAAGGUACUUGUCUGUGGGUUGAUGGUGUCAUGGUGAGGUGGUAUGGACCGGCACACUGGUGGUGCGCUGGUGUUGCAAUUGCAAUACGGCGCGUCGUUGUUGGCAUGUCCUCGUGUGUUUGGCCAUUGCUCCCCUGAGAAAAAUGAAAACAUACAGGUCUGCAAAUUCCUGUGCUCUGAUCUGGCCUGCCGUGCAGGUAAAGAUCUUUGCGUCCAUCGACAUGGCUGACCGCUGGUGAGCUGUGUGGACGUACACGCUGAGCUGCUGACAUUUGCAGCUCAACUUCAAGCUUCUGCAAGUGUAGCCAUUCGCCAUCUCCUUUCUUGCUCAGUGAACGCAUGAUCCCAAUCCAUGUGUUGAAACAUUCUUUUGCAAAGCUGGUUCAUUGGUCAGGAUGGAAUGGUAGGCAUGCUUCAGACUACGAUAAUGAGAGCUGAAAAGGCCCUCUCACCGACCGUUGGCAGGAUCGAUCUCGAUCGUGUGGGGUUUGUUGAUACACCAAGUAUGCUUGUGGUCUAUUUGCAGGGCCCACGUGGCACUGAAGGGUCUACUUUGAACAGCAAUGCUAGUGGCGACCUGACGCCCUUAACGAGGCUCGGUAUCUGGUUGGGCUCCCUUUCGUCAUAAACCCAAGUCAAUGGCCGAUGGAGAUGGAGCAGGUGUCAUCUGAUGAGAACUUUGAGCGAGAGAAUGAGGCCGGCUGGCCUGCCACUUGAUUUCUCCAGCUGAGGUCGCCGCGGCUGGUCCUGGCCGUGGGCAAAAUGGUAAUUGGCCCGUCUCAAACAUAAGCCAAAAUUCUCUCAUACGCACGGGUACCGGGGACGGCCGGUGGCUGUACCACCACCGACAGCUUCUCCCGGUUAUCCCAAACUGGGUGAUGGGCAUGGCACUUUGGUCGCAUCGGAGUCAGAUCAGAGAUCACCUCUCUUCUCUUUAUAAAAAUGACAAAAAAAAAGAGAGGAAAAGAAAGAUGCUGGAACAAGGAAAGGAAAAGGGUUGCUUUCUCAUGUUUUGUUUUUCAAUGCCCUAGUGAGAAUAUGUUCUUCUUUUCUUUUAUUUUUUCCCCCUUUCGGCUGAAUGAUUGGAGAUCUUCUGUUCUUGAUAUGGUGCCAAUGGUGCACGCAUAUUUGCACAAGGGUAACAUGGAACAUGUAGCGAUAACAAUAGUGCAUUGGUGUUGUCCAGCUCCACCUCCCGAGCGUCUGGAGGGACAGAGAGGCCUUGCCAAUCUCCAUGUGGAGACGACACCAUGCCCAAGAGGAAAUAACGCAGAUGUUCCUUCACCAAAAAAAGGAGGAGGAACUGCAAAGAGGAUCAGGGUGUGGUUGGGGUUGAUCAAGAAUUCCAGAGU